CACGCAACAGCCGAUGUCUGCAGGCGAAAAUGACAGCCGCAACACUUACGAUCUCGCUCUCGACUUUUUCGACUACACCUACCUAGACGAGGCUGUUUUACACCCCCGUAAUAACAGUCCCGAAGUCCAUCCGAGUCGUUUCCAGCCCCUGUAUUAUCUUGAAUCUCCCUUUUGAGAUAUAUCUUUGUCUUUGGAACUGGCCCUGGUUCUCCAGCACAUACGACAGCCAGUCGCCGUUGUCUCGGCCGCAACACUUGGAUCUGACAAGACGUCUUCACGGACUAGUCUUGUGUGGUUCUUUUUUCUUAUCUUUUCCUUUUUAUUUUCACAUCUGUUUGUUUUCUUCCUUUAUGUUAUUCCUCACUGUCUCGACCUCUUGCGCUAAUGAGCACAUACCCUUUUCACGCUCUAGCUCCAUAGCAGCUACUUCCUUCAUCUCCCCAUCCAAUGCAUUAUUACCGUUCCGCCUUGACUCCAUUCCGUCAUGUGGUCACAUCUUUCUGGCUGUGGCUACUUGCCUAGACUUUCUCUUCAGAUUUGGCCUUGAUUCACAAGCUACAACCUGCCUCAGCGAUGUCGGUUGUGUCUUUCUACUCCUGAUCAAGUCUGCUCACCACUUGCUUUUUUUGUGACUAUUUGUUUUCUUUUACUCACCCUUUACAGAUACUAACGGUCCCAGAGCCUCUUCUCGAUGUUUUUAUUUAUUUUUCUCACACACGCUUUCUCCGAUAUUUUCGAUUUUCGAUUUUCGAUGUUUUCGAUGUUUUCGAUGUUUUCGAUGUCUCCGAUUUUUUCGAUUAUUCCGAUUUUUCCGAUUUUUCCGAUUUUUCCGAUUUUUUUCUUUUCUCACCUAAUCAACUUACCAGAGCCUAUCGAGUGUACACCACUGUACACCAUCUCCUAUCGCCAACAUCGCUAGACAAGUUGUCUUUUUCUUUCUUUUCUUUCUCUUUUCUUUUCUUUUCUCUCUCUCUCUCUCUCUCUCUCUCUCUCUCUCUUUUCUUUUCAUUUCAGAUCUGAUCUAAUCAAUCUGACGUCUAACCCCGUUUUCUAGAGCCCCGACACCGUUCACAACGCUGAAACGAAACGACAAUGGCUUUAUCCUUGUCUCCUCUCCUCUGACCAGGUAAUGAACACGCAACCGCGGCUCGAGUCCGACACGACGCACAUGUUCAGCCUGGUCUUGGGCGCGAUACGAGCUCUCUACGAUACGACCUCGAUUGAUUGAUGAAUGAAUG
rnacentral:misc_RNA from 1 species